GACGAACGCUGGCGGCGUGCCUAAUACAUGCAAGUUGAGCGCUGAAGGUUGGUACUUGUACCAACUGGAUGAGCAGCGAACGGGUGAGUAACGCGUGGGGAAUCUGCCUUUGAGCGGGGGACAACAUUUGGAAACGAAUGCUAAUACCGCAUAAAAACUUUAAACACAAGUUUUAAGUUUGAAAGAUGCAAUUGCAUCACUCAAAGAUGAUCCCGCGUUGUAUUAGCUAGUUGGUGAGGUAAAGGCUCACCAAGGCGAUGAUACAUAGCCGACCUGAGAGGGUGAUCGGCCAACUUGGGAAUGGAACACGGGCCAAAAUCCUAGGGGGGGGAGCAGUAGGGAAUCUUCGGCCAUGGACGAAAGUCUGAACGAGCAACGCCGCGUGAGUGAAGAAGGUUUUCGGAUCGUAAAACUCUGUUGGUAGAGAAGAACGUUGAGGAGAGUGGAAAGCUCAUCAAGUGACGGUAACUACACAGAAAGCGACGGCUAACUACGUG
rnacentral:rRNA from 1 species